rnacentral:ribozyme from 1 species
AUUGCACUUGUUCGUGAGAAUAGGUGCAAUUGCCUAAAUGAAUGUCUUCAGAAGAUGACAAACCUGUGGGGCGUAAGUAAUAAAGAGUCUGAAAGAUUGCAGAUAAGAGUAUGCACUUAUUGGCAAUAUGCAUACCAGAAUAAUUUAUUAUGAUCGUGCGGACGUUAAAAUCAGGU